CUCAGGGGGUAGCAAGCUUGUUAAACUUAGUGGGCCCGACUCCCAUGAUUGCGAGGCGCUACCAUGGUUGGUGCCCAGACAAGUUCUUAAAAAAAUCCUGUGUUCAAAUCAUUUUGCUGCAUGAAGAUGGGUCAUGGGUUAGGGUUAUGGUAGGACAAAUGUUGCAUUGCAAAAUAGUAACACAUAAUAUAUACUUUUAAUCACAUAUGGUUGAAUCAUAUUCACCAGGGUAAAACAUCAUGAGCUACAUUAAACAGAUUGUCCUAAUAUCUAACUUUACAUGCAAUGCACACCUGUUUCAUUGCUAUUAAUUUUUCAAUCCACACUGGGGGGUGGGGGUCAGAAAAGUUUCUACUUUUAUGAGGGGGGAGGCACAAAAAGUUUGCCUUCAGUUCUGUAGGGGGGGGGGUCAAAAAAGUUUUCAAUCCUUAUUUUUCCCAUUUCCCAACACCCCCCUCCCCAUAAAUAAUGACCACUCCCUAAUUUCCCCGGGGUUCACAGGCAGAACACACAGAUCAAAUACCAAAUUCCCCCUCGUUUCCCCCCAGUUGUCCCGGGGGUGUACCCCCGGGCAGGCCGUUGAUAUUUGCAUAAUUCUCUUUCAAAUUGUAUAAAAAGUAUGUUGUUCCUCUUGCAUUUCUACUAUACAUAUAAUUUUAAUGUAUAAAUUUGUGAACACAGCCAUGCUUUGUUGAAACAAAACUUAUGUCGGUUUAUGCAUAUAUCAUCUAAAUAUUUACUGCUGUUUGUAUUUUUCAGAUUAUGGAAACUGCACAUUGGUGAUCAUGUCUACUCACAAUGUACUCUGUGCACAUUAUGGGGAAAGUAAAUCUGCACUAAUUGUAAUAUAUUCGAUGGCAAUUCAUGGCAAUAGAAUCAUAUUGUUUGACCAGGCAAAGGAUUAGUUAAUUAAGGAUCUAGCACACCAAACAAUAAUUAUAUAUUAUUUUAUUAAACAUAUUCUUAUGUGCAUUAUUAAUUUUCAUUACAAAUUAGAUUUAUUCAACAUUUAAAAAGUUUAAUUUAAAAAUAUAUACAAUAUUAUAUUACUAUUACAGGCCAUCAACAAGUAUUCUUGGUCUCAUACCCAUGUUUUAUUUUGUUAAUUCCAUAACGUAUUUUCGGGUUGUCCCAAAUUAUACAAGUGAAACACGCACAUAGCUAUCGCUUUUAAUAAAAGAGAUAUUUGAUGUCAUAUUUACUUCAAUAUAUUUUAUUGAAGCUAUGCCUGGCUAUAAUUAGCUAAUAUUUCCAGUGGUGGCACCAGCAGUGGGGACAUCCCC